rnacentral:rRNA from 1 species
GGAGGAAAGCAGGGGAUCGCAAGACCUUGCGCUUUUGGAGCGGCCGAUGCCUGAUUAGCUUGUUGGUGAGGUAAAAGCUCACCAAGGCUCCGAUCAGUAGCUGGUCUGAGAGGACGACCAGCCACACUGGGACUGAGACACGGCCCAGACUCCUACGGGAGGCAGCAGUGGGGAAUUUUGGACAAUGGGGGCAACCCUGAUCCAGCCAUGCCGCGUGAGUGAAGAAGGCCUUCGGGUUGUAAAGCUCUUUCAGCCGGAACGAAACGGUUACGGUCAAUACCCGUGACUACUGACGGUACCGGAAGAAGAAGCACCGGCUAACUACGUGCCAGCAGCCGCGGUAAUACGUAGGGUGCGAGCGUUAAUCGGAAUUACUGGGCGUAAAGCGUGCGCAGGCGGUUUUGUAAGUCAGAUGUGAAAUCCCCGGGCUUAACCUGGGAACUGCGUUUGAAACUACAAGGCUAG